CCUACGGGAGGCAGCAGUGAGGAAUAUUGGUCAAUGGACGAGAGUCUGAACCAGCCAAGUAGCGUGAAGGAUGACUGCCCUAUGGGUUGUAAACUUCUUUUAUAUGGGAAUAAAAUGUUCCACGUGUGGGAUUUUGUAUGUACCAUAUGAAUAAGGAUCGGCUAACUCCGUGCCAGCAGCCGCGGUAAUACGGAGGAUCCGAGCGUUAUCCGGAUUUAUUGGGUUUAAAGGGAUCGUAGGUGGAUUGUUAAGUCAGGUGUGAAAGUUUGCGGCUCAACCGUAAAAUUGCAGUUGAAACUGGCAGUCUUGAGUACAGUAGAGGUGGGCGGAAUUCGUGGUGUAGCGGUGAAAUGCUUAGAUAUCACGAAGAACUCCGAUUGCGAAGGCAGUUCACUGGACUGCAACUGACACUGAGGCUCGAAAGUGUGGGUAUCAAACAGGAUUAGAUACCCUUGUAGUC
rnacentral:rRNA from 1 species